rnacentral:tRNA from 2 species
GCGCCCUUAGCUCAGCUGGAUAGAGCGUCUGGCUACGAACCAGAAGGUCGGGAGUUCGAGUCUCUCAGGGCGCGCCA